rnacentral:sRNA from 1 species
GAGUUAGAAGUCUGCUGUCAAAGAAUUGUAACAUGGUCUUUUAUUAAAAGAAGAAUAAGAGAAUUAUGUUUACAAAAGUGGCAAGAUGUCUGGUUCAUGCAAAGAAAAAGUGUGCAUUAUUCCAGAUUUGAAACUAAGCCAAAGUGGAAGACUUGCUCAAUAAAGUGUAAGAAGAAACUUUUUGCUACAAUAAUGCAGCUAAAGCUUGGACAUGGACAUUUCAAAUCAUAUUUAGCAAAGUUUAAAGAUGAUUUAAAUGAUCUAUGUUCAGAUUGUCAGUUAUAUGAAAAUCCAGAGCAUCUUCUGUUACUUUGUACAAAGUAUUCAGAACUAAGAUUGAGACUGAGAGAGAAGUAUCAACUGAAUCAGUUAAAUUUGAGUUUGUUAUUCAAUACAAAAGCUGG